CCCUCCUUAAAAUCUGACAGGCAACGGAAAAAUGUGAUUUCAUAGAGAUGCUUACAUUCUCUGCUGAUGACAUCCAGGGAUAUAAAUGCUCAGUGUCACACUGCUAAGUGGAGAAAGCUUCCAGGGUUCCAUUGAUCUUGUGGCGUGGGAGGCUGUUAUGGUGUGAGUCUGUUACCAGGAGCUACAUGACAGCAUGGAUUAAGUUGUGCUUUGGGAAAAUGAAAGCAAGAACUUCUACGUUUGUAGCACACAUAGGUCUGUUAGAAGGAGCAGCUGUUAGAAAUGGAUGCACUGUAAACUUUAUCCUUGAGAAAUUAAAGAGAAACACAUGUGAGAAAAAUGGAAUUGCAAGAGCCACUGGGAUGGGGACUUCCGGAAGAACAUGGCAGAUAGAUAGCAGCAGCUACAGAGGCUCUCUGAGAUACCCCACCUAGAAUCCAGGAAUGGGGCAAUCUGAGGAGUCCUAAGCAAGGAGGGAUAUACCCUGCCAACCCAGGAAUGAACUAAGCUAAGAGAAACCAACUGGAAAUGCAAUCCCGGUGCUAUAACAGGAAGAGAUAAAAUCUCAGCGCAGAAGCUGGAACCUGUGCCAUUGGAAGCUGCAAUUUGAAUUUCCUGCUGCCACUGCUGUGUCCAAAUCGGCAUGUCAGGAAGAGAGACACGUGAAAACUCUGAGAGUGGGAAUCAGCAAAUGGAGUUGAGAAUGGGACUGGUGGGGAGCCCUGCAUCGACCUGUGGUGAGUGAGUGGAACGGAGACCCUUCCAUAGAGUAGGAGGCUUCAGCAAAGGACAUACUGGGACCAGGCAGACUUGCCAGAACAGGACGCUGCAGUGUCCUUAGUCGCAUAUUCCCCUCUCAAGCGGGAUUGGUGGGGAGUGCCUGGCCUGGGGGACGUCGCUGACUAAGACCCAGUAGGCUAGCCCAAACCAGGUCCUAGCGCCCGGAGGUGCACCCUAGCAGUGAAGCCUUUGGUAGGUUGACCUGGAGGGGCGGGCCCAGCAGACGCUGCCCAGCUCUGUGUCUCCCUAGUACACUGCAGUGGGCGGGAACACCUAGCUAGCACAAUUUAAACAAACUGUAACAGACAAAGAGAAAAAAAAACUGGGCCUCCUAUAUUCACUUGUAUGGAAGGAAAAAAAGUAUGGGAAGACGAAGCAACAAGAAAGGGUCCUCAGUCCCCAAUCCUGAGAACACUGAUCCAGGAAAGGUGAAUGCAAAGGAGAAUGAGGACAGAAAACAUGCAGUAUCAGACACGGCACCAAUAGACAUAAAGCGAUAUCUCUGGAGCCUCAUAGACGAGUUCAAAAGAGACGUUUUUAACGAAAUAAAGCAAGAUAUAAGUACAAUAGUUAGAGAAAUGCUAAGCACCACCCAAGAAAAAACAGAUGGUGGAAUGGAAGAACAGAAAAAAAGGGAGAAUUGUUUGAUGGAGAAAAUAGAGAAAACAGAAUACGUGAAGCAGGUUCAAAAAGAUUAUAAGGAAACUAAAAACUCUAUUGAAAGCUGGCAUUGUUAUGAAAGAAACUAAGGAUAGAUUAUCUGAACUGGAGGACAGAUUUGUAAUGUGGGAGCAUGAAAUGAAAAACUUCUUAAAAAUAACAAGAAAACAAACAGCAAUAAUACAAAGGCUAGAAGAUGAUAAGAUCUAUAACUUAAGAACAUAAAAAGAAGAAGUAGGGACACAAACAAAUGGACUACAAAAGCUAUUCAAAGAAAUAAUCCAAGAGAAUUUCCCUAAUUUAGCAAAAGCUAAAGAUACUCAGAUGUAUGAGGCAUACAGGACCCCAGCCACCUACAACCCAAACACAGCUACACCCAGGCAUAUAAUAAUCAAAAUUCCAGAAAUCCAAUAUAAGAACAGAUUACUAAAAGCCAUACAAGACAAGAAACAGAUCACUUACAAGGGAACAUCCAUCAGAAUUACAGCAGACUUCUCGGCACAAGCCAUCAAAUCACGAAGAGCGUGGGGGGAAAUAAUUCAAGCUUUGAGAGAUAAUAACCUCCAGCCAAGAUUGAUAUAUCCUGCACAACUGUCCCUAGAAAUUGAUGGAAAAACAAGGUGCUUCCAGGAUAAAGAGGAACUAGCAGAAUUUGCAACCACCAAUUCAACUCUACAGAGAAUACUGCAGGACAUUCUAAAAAAGAAAAAUACCAAGAUUCCAGAAACAAUGGCAGAGAGGCCACAAUGAAUGCAGCAGAAAGCAAAA